UACGUAGGGGGCGAGCGUUGUCCGGAUUUAUUGGGCGUAAAGAGCUCGUAGGCGGCUCGGUAAGUCGGAUGUGAAACCUCCAGGCUCAACCUGGGAGACCGCCAUCUGAUACUGCCGUGGCUUGAGUCCGGUAGAGGAGCAGGGAAUUCCUGGUGUAGCGGUGAAAUGCGCAGAUAUCAGGAGGAACACCAAUGGCGAAGGCAGCUCGCUGGGACGGUACUGACGCUGAGACGCGAAAGCGUGGGGAGCAAACAGG
rnacentral:rRNA from 1 species